rnacentral:lncRNA from 1 species
UUUAAUUUAAGAUGGAGAAGACAUAGCAUGUAAUUAUCCAAAGAAACAUAGGACUUAAUUUAUGUUGCAUCAUCAAAAUAUUUUCUAUGUGCUUUUUUGAUAUUUCAAGCUACACAUGUGUUUAUGCUCUUGUAUUAUUUUGAUCUCUUCCCUUUCCGUCUCUGGCUAACUGAGUUACUUAUAUUUUAGGUCAUAUGUACAGAAUGCAAUAAUGUUUCAGAUCAGUUUGAGAAUAUGAUGGAUCUGACCGUAGAGAUUCAUGGGGAUGCUGAAUCUCUGGAGGAAUGCUUGGAUCAAUUCACAGCAAGAGAGUGGCUAGAUGGAGAUAACUUGUAUAAAUGUGAUGGGUGAGGUUCUUCAUACUUGGAGGAAUGCUUAGAUCAAUUCACAGCAAGAGAAUGGCUUGAUGGAGAUAACUUGUAUAAAUGUGAUGGGUGAGUUUCUUAAUACUAAUGAUAAUGAAUUGCAUCCUUUUUACAAUCUGGAAUGCCAUUUUUAUGUUUCAUAUUUUUUUACUUCACACGGAUGAUUGAUUCUGUACCCAGAUUUUUAUGUUCACCCUUAUUUAAUAACACGACGGACUAAUAUAGAAACAUGACACUCCCUC